GAAUAAAGAGGCGAUGGAGUUCGCCUGAUUGCUAUGUGAUAGCUGAUAACUCCUAUUGAAGU
rnacentral:ncRNA from 2 species